AACGCAGCGAAGGGCGAUAGGUAAUGUGAAUUGCAGAAUUCAGUGAAUCAUCGAAUCUUUGAACGCAUCUUGCGCUUGGUGGUAUUCCGCCAAGCAUGCCUGUUUGAGUGUCAUGAAAAAUUAUCAACCAUGACUUGGGUUUAGGCCCUCGUUCUUGGCUUGGAUUUGGGUGUUUGCGGUCUUGCGCUGCUCACCUUAAAAGGAUUAGCUGGACAUGUCGUAAGACUUGGUCUACUUGGCGUAAUAAGUAUUUCGCUGAGGACAUCCCUUCUGGGGUGGCCAAGACUCUCAACAAAGGUCUGCUUUCUAACCCGACUGUCUUCGGACAUCACUUUUUAUGAUCUGGCCUCAAAUCAGGUAGGACUACCCGCUGAACUUAA
rnacentral:rRNA from 1 species